GGCCACGUGGCGGAGUGGUGACGCAGCGGAUUGCAAAUCCGUGUACGGGGGUUCGAUUCCCUCCGUGGCCU
rnacentral:tRNA from 1 species